rnacentral:tRNA from 8 species
UCCUCGGUAGCUCAGCGGUAGAGCGGUCGGCUGUUAACCGAUUGGUCGCAAGUUCGAAUCUUGCCCGGGGAG